GAGGUUGUAGCUCAGUGGUAGAAUCCCUACCUAGCACGCAGAGGCACUGGGUUUGAUCCUCAGCACCUCA
rnacentral:tRNA from 1 species